rnacentral:rRNA from 1 species
UACGUAGGUGGCGAGCGUUAUCCGGAUUUACUGGGUGUAAAGGGAGCGCAGACGGAACUGCAAGUCUGAUGUGAAAGCCCGGGGCUCAACCGCGGGACUGCAUCGGAUACUGUGGAUCUGGAGUGCCGGAGGGGCAAGCGGAAUUCCUGGUGUAGCGGUGAAAUGCGUAGAUAUCAGGAGGAACACCGGCGGCGAAGGCGGCUUGCUGGACGGCAACUGACGUUGAGGCUCGAAAGCGUGGGGAGCAAACAGGAUUAGAUA